UACGGGAGGGUGCAAGCGUUAUCCGGAUUCACUGGGUUUAAAGGGUGCGUAGGUGGGUUGGUAAGUCAGUGGUGAAAUCUCCGAGCUUAACUUGGAAACUGCCAUUGAUACUAUCAGUCUUGAAUAUUGUGGAGGUCAGCGGAAUAUGUCAUGUAGCGGUGAAAUGCUUAGAUAUGACAUAGAACACCAAUUGCGAAGGCAGCUGGCUACACAUAUAUUGACACUGAGGCACGAAAGCGUGGGGAUCAAACAGG
rnacentral:rRNA from 1 species